rnacentral:rRNA from 1 species
CAUAGAGGCACACUCUUUCCCUACACGACGCUCUUCCGAUCUUGGGGAGCAAACAGGAUUAGAUACCCUGGUAGUCCAUGCCGUAAACGAUGUCUACUAGCCGUUGGGGGAUUUGAUCCUUUAGUGGCGCAGCUAACGCGAUAAGUAGACCGCCUGGGGAGUACGGUCGCAAGACUAAAACUCAAAUGAAUUGACGGGGGCCCGCACAAGCGGUGGAGCAUGUGGUUUAAUUCGAUGCAACGCGAAGAACCUUACCUGGCCUUGACAUACAGAGAACUUUCCAGAGAUGGAUUGGUGCCUUCGGGAACUCUGAUACAGGUGCUGCAUGGCUGUCGUCAGCUCGUGUCGUGAGAUGUUGGGUUAAGUCCCGCAACGAGCGCAACCCUUUUCCUUACUUGCCAGCAUUUCGGAUGGGAACUUUAAGGAUACUGCCAGUGACAAACUGGAGGAAGGCGGGGACGACGUCAAGUCAUCAUGGCCCUUACGGCCAGGGCUACACACGUGCUACAAUGGUCGGUACAAAGGGUUGCUACACAGCGAUGUGAUGCUAAUCUCAAAAAGCCGAUCGUAGUCCGGAUCGCAGUCUGCAACUCGACUGCGUGAAGUCGGAAUCGCUAGUAAUCGCGGAUCAGAAUGCCGCGGUGAAUACGUUCCCGGGCCUUGUACACACCGCCCGUCACACCGUGGGAGUAUCGUGACUGGGAAACAG